ensembl:ncRNA lncRNA:CR44947 long non-coding RNA:CR44947
GUGCUUCGGGAGCAGAAAGGUAUACCAAUAAAAGCACCACGAAAGUUGGUGCCAAUCGGAAGUGCACUGCCUAAAAGCGGACCUCGAAUGGGAACUGAAGAUUCAAGAUGAGCUGCUGUGCCACCUGCAUACUAAACAUUACCCAGGACUUCUUUUUGCUCCCGCUAUAUGAGAGUGUGUAUGUGUGUGUGUGUCUGGGUGGGAAAAAUGUGGAAAGGACGUGGGGUUGACUGUUAUUGACUGUGCGAACUCAAGAUGUACACAAUAUGCAAAUUGCGGGUCCAGAAUGAGGUAAAAUAUCAGGCAGCUCCACGCUGAAUUUUGGUAUCUGCUGUGCGCAUAUAAAUUACAGAGCAAAUACUUGGUCUCCUAAAUACACUACGAGAAAUAUCUAAUAGAUACACAUACAUAUAUGGAUAAAUAUCGGAAACGCCUAAUUCAACGUAGAACACAAUUUUAGUCGAAUCUAGUAUACCCUUUACUCACUCGAUAUACUCGUACAUAUAUGAAUCAUAUGGCUUAAAAAUAUAAUAGGGGUCGUAUAAAAUUCUUUUCCGGGUAUGACCGUACAAAAAAAUUCAGAUCUAUCCGGAAAAGGAACAAAAUGGCAGCACUGCUACAGAAAGCAGAGAGGCCAACGGAUGUGUUGUCAAUUUCUGGGCCUGGCAAAUGAAAUGAUGCCUUUUUGUCUCUUACGCCGGUGGCAGCAACAAAGGCGGGCACCCUGUCAUCUUCAAUUAGUCCCCCGAAAGGAAGAAGAAAAGCGGUCCAUCCUUUCUCAGCUGGAGGCGCUACAACAAAAGUGUCAUCUGCGUGCUUCAUUUAUUCAUAAAUAUAAAUUUAGCAUAGGUCGCGGCGAGAUUACUUAAAGCUGUCCUCAAUAAAGCAGAAUCCUCCAAGGAGUGCCAAAAUUUGAAGCUUCUUAGGCUUAUCGUCCUUCGUGACUGCCAUUAUUGCCAAUCCAAAUGGAAAGUGCGACGUACCUUGGCGCCAAAUUUACACAUUAAUUACCAAUGCACAGGUUGUGAAAACGUGAGUUUUGUACCCUUCAAUAAAGUUUUAAGCGGGUUAAAAGGGCCCAACAUCCAUUUGUUACCCAGAUGAUUCCUACA